rnacentral:rRNA from 1 species
GUAUUUAUUAGAUUCAAACCAGUGUCCCUCGGGACUUUUUGGUGACUCAUAAUAACUUAACGCAGCGCAUGGCCUUCGUGCCGGCGCGGGAUCAUUCAAAUACCUGCCCUAUCAAGUUUCGAUGUGAGGGUAGUGUCCUCACAUGCUUUUGACGGGUAACGGGGAAUUAGGGUUCGACUCCGGAGAGGGAGCCUGAGAAACGGCUACCACAUCCAAGGAAGGCAGCAGGCGCGCAAAUUACCCAAUCCCGAUACGGGGAGGUAGUGACAAGAAAUACCGAUUCAGGAUCUUAUUGGAUCUUGAGAUUGGAAUGAGUACAAUUCAAACCCAUUAACGAGGAACAACUAGAGGGCAAGUCUGGUGCCAGCAGCCGCGGUAAUUCCAGCUCUAGUAGCGUAUAUUAAAAUUGUUGCAGUUAAAACGCUCGUAGUUGAACUUUGGGCUUGGCUGGCUGGUCCGCCUCACCGCGAGCACUGGUCCGGCUGGGCCUUUCCUCUUGGGGAUCCACAUGCCCUUCACUUGGGUGUGUUGGGGAACCAGGACUUUUACUUUGAAAAAAUUAGGGUGUUCAAAGCAGGCAUUUGCUCGAAUACAUUAGCAUGGGAUAAUAGAAUAGGACGUGUGGUCUUAUUUUGUUGGUUUCUAGGG